GAAUAUUGGACAAUGGGGGGAACCCUGAUCCAGCCAUGCCGCGUGUGGGAAGCAGGCUUUUUGGUUGUAUAUCACUUUAAGCUCGGAGGAGGCUACAUGAGUUAAUACCUAGAGAUAGUGGCGGUUACUGGCAGAAUAAGCACCGCGUCGGUCUGUGCCUGCUGCCGCGGUAAUACAGAGGGUGCAAGCGUUAAUCGGAUUUACUGGGCGUAAAGCGCGCGUAGGUGGCCAAUUAAGUAAAAUGUGAAAUCCCCGAGCUUAACUUGGGAAUUGCAUUCGAUACUGGUUGGCUAGAGUAUGGGAGAGGAUGGUAGAAUUCCAGGUGUAGCGGUGAAAUGCGUAGAGAUCUGGAGGAAUACCGAUGGCGAAGGCAGCCAUCUGGCCUAAUACUGACACUGAGGUGCGAAAGCAUGGGGAGCAAACA
rnacentral:rRNA from 1 species